CACAAACAACAUCAACUGUGUCAAAGAUGUUUAUGCAGUAUGUACCAGCAAGGUUAUUCAAUGCCUGGUCAGUGUUCCUUACCUUACAUUCAUGGGCUUUGCCAUGGAAAAUUGAGAGAAAUGGCUUCAUUUUAAGCAGGUGUUGGAGCUCAGGACAGCUUUUUGUUAGUUUUCAAGAUAUGGCCAGUACUUGCAUGUUACAUACAUGGAAAAAAAGUGAUUGUCUGUUGGCCAGCCUUUGUUGAAAAGAACAAGGGUUAUGCAAAUAUCUCAUACCCUAUCUCUAAGAGCGUAUACAGUCCACAAAUUUUCCUAUGUUUUCAUCCUUGGCUAUGAAAAGGUCCUGAAAUAUAGCCUGUUCCUCCAAUCUGAAAAA